CAAGUCUCAACUGCUUGCUUGCAGCAUUGAUACCAAAGGCACACUAAGGAAUACAUCCAAGCACCAGCAAAGUUCACCUCCUACUACAACCUUCCUAUGGAGUAACAGUGAUUAGUUCGAUUAAAACAUUGCUAAUCUCUUUAUAGUAUUCUGGGUUGCCCCUCCUGAAAAUCAGUUGAAGCUCCACAACUGAGCACUGGCACCUCCGCAAAAUAGGGAACAUAUGGGAUAAUCAGCCCACCGCCAUGUCCUAGAGUGCACAGAUCAUACACUUCGUCCUCACUGUCCAUGUCAUAUGACACCAGUUUCCAGUUGUAGCGGUGAACGAAGAAAACCAAAUUGCGAUCUGGGUGAAUGGCGACCACAUCUAAGUCAUCGACUCCACAACUGAUUUCUCCAAACAGCUGCAAACAACUCACACUUUGCUUCAGGACCCAUUGUGCUGCACCAUAGUCCUCAAGAACCCAAAUUGACAGCUCAAUGAUGUGGACUCGAUGAUCUUCUUGCUUUUUUAUGUCCAGUGAUGCAAUGCAGGCGUCCUUGGGAUUGACCAAUAAAAACAGGAGCAGCAAAUUCGUUCAUAUCUGGCCAGUGGAUCGCCAUAUUUUUCUUCCCUUGCAAGUCCACCACAGCUAUGAUAUCCUUUUGCUGCGACUGCAAGUAGUGCUUGUAGACUGGAAUAUGCAACAUGCCAUUGACAUUCGCCCAGCCCAACUUAGAUUGUAUUUUGUCUUCCCCUUCCCCUUUUAUAUCUCUCCAGACCCCAGUUUCAGAUGAGAAGACGCGCACAGCUUGCACUUGCACUGUCUCGAACCAACAAAGAUUGCGGAAUUGGAGCAGGUGGAAGUGCGAGGAAACAGCCGGGUCAAAAAUCAGCAAGUUAUGGGCUAGAGUUAAGGAAUAGUAGUUCCCUUCCACCGGUGGAUAUGGAGUAAUGCCGGAGCUGGGCACGGACACCCAUUGUUCAGUGGCAGGGUUGCACACAAUGUAUUCGUAUCGGUGGCGAUCCCGGAAGUGCUCGAAGAGGAGGAGCCCAUUGUGGGCGCUCAAGAGGUCGAUGUUCUUAAUUCCAGGCAGCUUGGUGAGGAAGGAGAACGAGGCGUCGACGAGAGGCACGGAUCUGCCCGAUAGGUUGAUGAAAUGCCCAUAGUUCACGCCGCCGCCGUCGCCGCCGCCGCCGAAGAAGAAACCCUCCAGGGUUUGGGGGAACUUCCUGCGGCCGAGGCGGCCGGCGAUGAGGUCGCACCAGCCUUUGGAGACGCACUUGAACCGGAAAAGGGG
rnacentral:lncRNA from 1 species